AACGCUGGCGGCGUGCUUAACACAUGCAAGUCGCGCGUGAAAGGACUUCGGUCCGAGUAAAGCGGCGCACGGGUGAGUAACGCGUGGAUGAUCUACCCAUGAGUUAGGAAUAACGGCUGGAAACGGUCGCUAAUACCAAAUACGCUCCGAUUUCAACUUCGGGGGAAAGGUGGCCUCUGCUUGCAAGCUACUGCUCAUGGAUGAGUCCGCGUCCCAUUAGCUAGUUGGUGGGGUAACGGCCCACCAAGGCGACGAUGGGUAGCCGGUCUGAGAGGAUGACCGGCCACACUGGGACUGGAACACGGCCCAGACUCCUACGGGAGGCAGCAGUGGGGAAUAUUGCGCAAUGGGCGAAAGCCUGACGCAGCGACGCCGCGUGAGGGGAAUGAAGGUCCUCGGAUCGUAAACCUCUGUCAGGAGGGAAGAACCGCCACGGUGCUAAUCAGCCGUGGUCUGACGGUACCUCCAAAGGAAGCACCGGCUAACUCCGUGCCAGCCGCGGC
rnacentral:rRNA from 1 species